rfam:Dipodomys ordii ctg_broad_rename0028318, whole genome shotgun sequence.
UCACAGAAGAUCUUAGUUCACCUUAAAACUUACCUGCAUUUCCAAAAUAAAAUUACUGUAAGUUUUAAAGCUAACCUAAAGAGGUACAGCUCUUUAGAUAGAGGAUACAACCUAAAGUAAAGAGUAAUUGAUACAAUAUUCAUAGUAGGCCUAAAAGCAGCCAUCAAUUAAGAAAGCGUUAAAGCUCAACACUAUUAUAUAAUUUAUUCCAAUAAUAUAUUACAUCUCUUACAAAAUAACUGGACCAAUCUAAUUAAUAUUAGAUGAAAUACUGUUAGUAUAAGUAAUAAGAAAAAUUUUCUCCUAGCACAAGUGUAUAACAGAACGAAUAAAUCGCUGAUAGUUAACAAUCAUACAUUUCCACCUAAACUACUAGAACCAAUGUUACUAAUUUAUUGUUAGCCCAACACAGGAGUGCAAACUAGGAAAGAUUAAUAAAUGUAAAAGGAACUCGGCAAACUUAAACCCCGCCUGUUUACCAAAAACAUCACCUCUAGCAUUACCAGUAUUAGAGGCACCGCCUGCCCAGUGACGCAAGUUAAACGGCCGCGGUAUCCUGACCGUGCAAAGGUAGCAUAAUAAUUUGUUCCUUAAUUAGGGACUUGUAUGAAUGGCAUCACGAGGGUUUAACUGUCUCUUACAUUCGAUCAAUGAAAUUGACCUUUCCGUGAAGAGGCGGAAAUAACACAAUAAGACGAGAAGACCCUAUGGAGCUUAAAUUAAUAUUCCAACUUAAACAACUUCAAAUCUAAUCGAUGUAAAAUCUGCAACCACUGGAAUAAACAUUUUGGUUGGGGUGACCUCGGAGCAUAAAAAAACCUCCGAAGGACUAACAUUAAGACCAACUAGUCCAAAUUAUAAAUGUCCAAAUAUUGACCCAGAAAUAAUUCUGAUCAAUGAACCAAGUUACCCUAGGGAUAACAGCGCAAUCUUGUUAAAGAGUUCAUAUCGACAAUAAGGUUUACGACCUCGAUGUUGGAUCAGGACAUCCCAAUGGUGCAGCAGCUAUUAAAGGUUCGUUUGUUCAACGAUUAAAGUCCUACGUGAUCUGAGUUCAGACCGGAGCAAUCCAGGUCGGUUUCUAUCUAUUUACCUAUUUCUCCUAGUACGAAAGGACCAGAGAAAUGAGGCCAACUUUACAAAAGCGCCUUAAUACUUAAUAAAUGAUAUUAUAUCAACUUACAAAGUAACUUAACUCACUCAAUUACAUCCCGACAUUAGGGAUUGUUAAGAUGGCAGAGCCAG